rnacentral:lncRNA from 1 species
UUAUGGAAUGAAGUGUUGCCCAAUUCUAAAAAUGCAAUAAAGCCAAUUGAGAUCUUUAAGAUAAAUUUGUUGUAGCUUUGUCUUUUGGCAGAUCUAAGCAUACAAGGGCUAGAUUAAUGCACUCAUUCAUUUCCUUAUUUAACAAAAUUGUAUUGAGUGCUUUCCACAUACUAGGUACUUUGCCAGGGCCCAGGGGAUACAGAGGUCAAUUACAAAAACAGUCCCCGUCAUAUUGUCUGCAGACUAGUGUAGAGAUGGACAAGUUAGCUGUUGCAGUAAGAGUGCAUUAGUGGAACACCUGAACCUAGAUUUGGGGGUCAGGAAAGGAAUUCUGAGAGGAAAGUAGAACUGAGAAAUAAAUAGAAAUUAUUCAAGCCUGUGUGUGUUGAGAAAGAGAAAGUGGCAGUGUGUGCAUGUGUUUGUACUUUAAGGAAGAGAAAGAGACAAGCACAGGGAGAGAGAGAACGGGUCAGCCAAGCCAGUGGGAAGCCUACGACAUUCCCCUGGGUCACUUAGUGAACUCCUACUCUUUCAUCAGGCCUCACUUGAACAUGACUUCCUCCAGAAGCCUUCCCAGACAUCUUUGAGCUAGAAAGUCAGAAGAGUAGAAUUGGAACCCAGCUCAGUCUGAUGCCACAUCCUUUGUUGUUUCCAUUAAAUCAGAGAAUUUCUUAGUGCUGAGAAACUAUUCUGGAACUUACAACAAAGAUAAAUAGCAGCUGCUACUGGUGCUGUUGAUUGCGAUUUCUGUUUGAAAAUGGAAUCUUGAGCAUCUGUUCUCUCCUUUUAUAUUUUACUGUGAGAGAAAAUCUAUUUUUUUCAAAAGCGAAACCACGAACCCACUGGGAGGAAUGGACAAUUCCAGAUGUGCUGCCUUAAGAGCUGUAACAGUCACUGCGAAAGUCUGCAGCUUCACGCCUGAAGCUAGCGAGACCACGAACCCAGCAGAAGGAAGAAACUCCGAACACAUCUGAACAUCAGAAGGAACAAACUCUGGACAUGCUGCCUUUAAGAACUGUACUCACUGCGAGAAUCAGUGGCUUCAUUCUUGAGUGCUAUCAGUGUUUGCCCCAGCUGUUUUGACACUGUUGUUAGGUUUCAAGGAAUGGUGGCUUUCAUGUGCUUGGCUAAUUCCAGCCUGAAAGUAGCACAAUGCUUCAUGUACAGAUGAUCAAAAGUACCUGGAUAAAGCCAAAACUCAGGAAACUCAACUUGUACCAUGCUGUAUGGGAUGCUAGGGAGAAGUUCAAAAGAUUUCUAGGCAAAAUAACCUUGUUGUCUCCCUAAAUAUGUUCCAAGUAGCCUGAAUCCCUCUCCUACACCUUGUGAAAAUCUUUUUUCUGCAAUUCAAUAUCAAAAUUAGAGAAAAAUAGAGAGUAAUAUAUUACAGAAAAAACAGAAAUGGAAGGUAGCAGCAAGUUGUAAUGCAGUUUCUACAAGUGGAAGAUUAGAGAGGAAUGUUCCAUUCAGGUGGCUUGAAGAUCCUCCUACAAAUGAAUUCUGAGUUUUUGGUGUUUCUUUCUUUUCCUUCAGUUUGUUAAAUGUGCCCAUAAUGUUAAACAAAAAAGACCCAAUAAAACAAAAAUGGCAGAAAUUUUCUAUCUUGUAUCAGGUGGGUAGAACACAGAUUUGGGAUGAAAUAUUUCUGCUGUCAUUUGAGAUACCACAUAAGCAACAAUCUCGAGCAUGUGUUGCCUUAGAAACAAGUCAGGAAAUAACGCCUAGAUCAGGUAAGGUAGGAUGUUUUCAUAUAGAGCAUUCACUUUUUGGUUUUAAGGGGCAUAGAAAGGUGACUAAAAUAAUUGGUUGAGAAUACACACAUAAUUAUUUUUACACAAACCCCAAAGUGUGCAGCUAGCCUCUGGAGAAGCAAAAGUCCAGCAUAUUUUGUUGCCUAAAGCUUAGUGGGAUAUUAAUGUGCAUGGUAAAUAUUCAGUACUUUUGAAGUUCGAUUUUGAUAUUGGUUAUCCUUAUAUGCAAAUCUCUUAAAAACCAUGUUACGUGGUUUUGAACUUUUUGCUCAGUAGGGAAAUGUAUAUGUAUUUUUUCAGAUCAAAAUAAAUUACAUUUUUCCUUUUCAUUGUAUGGUUAUUAAUAACCC